GUACUCACUUCAGCAGCAUGUAUACUAAAAUGGAAUGAUACAGAGAAGAUUAGCAUGGCCCCUGCAAAAGGAUGGCGUGCAAAUUCAUGAAGUGUUCCAUAUUUUU